rnacentral:tRNA from 1 species
GCCGCUGUAGCAUAGCCUGGCUAGCGCGAUUCCUUGGUAAGGAAUAGGUCGAGGGUUCAAAUCCCUCCAGCGGCU